GAUGAACGCUGGCGGCGUGCCUAAUACAUGCAAGUCGAGCGAACAGAUAAGGAGCUUGCUCCUUUGACGUUAGCGGCGGACGGGUGAGUAACACGUGGGUAACCUAUCUAUAAGACUGGAAUAACUCCGGGAAACCGGGGCUAAUGCCGGAUAACAUGUUGAACCGCAUGGUUCUACAGUGAAAGGCGGCUUUGCUGUCACUUAUAGAUGGACCCGCGCCGUAUUAGCUAGUUGGUGAGGUAACGGCUCACCAAGGCAACGAUACGUAGCCGACCUGAGAGGGUGAUCGGCCACACUGGAACUGAGACACGGUCCAGACUCCUACGGGAGGCAGCAGUAGAGAAUCUUCCGCAAUGGGCGAAAGCCUGACGGAGCAACGCCGCGUGAGUGAUGAAGGUCUUCGGAUCGUAAAACUCUGUUAUUAGGGAAGAACAAAUGCGUAAGUAACUGUGCGCGUCUUGACGGUACCUAAUCAGAAAGCCACGGCUAACUACGUG
rnacentral:rRNA from 1 species